rnacentral:rRNA from 1 species
GACAGAGGGUGCAAACGUUGUUCGGAAUUACUGGGCGUAAAGCGCGUGUAGGCGGCUGCGCAAGUCGGAUGUGAAAUCCCGUGGCUCAACCACGGAAGUGCACCCGAAACUGCGCAGCUGGAGUCUCGGAGAGGAAGGUGGAAUGCUUGGUGUAGAGGUGAAAUUCGUAGAUAUCAAGCGGAACACCGGUGGCGAAGGCGGCCUUCUGGACGAUGACUGACGCUGAGACGCGAAAGCGUGGGGAGCAAACAGG